rnacentral:tRNA from 1 species
UCCAUAGCUCAGUUGGUUAGAGCACCACCUUGACAUGGUGGGGGUCGGUGGUUCGAGUCCACUUGGACGCACCA